CAGAGCGCGCGCGCGGGAAGCAAGAGAGAGAGGGAGAGAGAGAGAGAGAGAGAGAGGGGAUGGGGUGGUCUCACCCUGACAUCUCGUUGCCGGACCUCUUGGUUCUCGUGAAGGGCUUCGUCGACAUCGUCGUCCUCGCGUCGGGGCGCCAAUCGUCUGGUCUUCCCGUCCAUUGGGACGCCCAAAACGUCAAGAAAGCUCUUCAGUGGGCGUUGUUCUUCGAGGAGGUAUUUCAAAGGAUUGCUGACUCAGCUGAUUAUCAAGAUUCAGUCACAGAUCUGGAUGCAGCAAUAGGGGAAAUUACAUCAGAUCCUUCUUUUCCUCAGGGUCUUGCACAUUUGUCUUCUGCCACUCUCAUGAAGGCGAGAGAUUUCAUGGUAGAACAUUUGCUCAAUGCACUACCACUCAGGGAUGCACAACUGCAUUCACUACUAUCUGCAGUGGUUGAGCUGGAUAUUAAUGGUCCUUCAAUGGGAAAGCAGCCUGAGCCCUAUGUGGUUUAUGCCAACAAACUGGCCUUGUAUGAAAAUUCUAGAGACAUGCCUGACAGUAAAAGCAGGUGUAUAAAGAAAUUAGAAACACCACGUACAAUUUCUCCCAUGCAAAACGCAUCAAGCUAUUCUGAUAUUUCAGAAAUCGUCCUUCAAGAAGUUGGCAAAAAGCAUACAGUAGUUUCCUGCAUGUCAUCAUUGGAGGAAAAUUUUGACACUUUAUCAGAAGUAAUUACAAAGAGUGCUGAAGAGGGAUGUACAAGUAGCAUAUGGAAGGAGGAAGGAUGUCGUAACAUGAAUGAGAAAAUAGAGGAAACAGUUGAAUCUGAUUUAUGGAGCCGAUGGAGGUCAGGUUGUUUGACCUAUUUGCUUAACAAGAGGACUGUUAGUUUGAUCUCUGGGGUAAGCUUGAUUUUUCAUUGCCCCAAAAGUCAGUGGAUGGAAGCCCUCGAAUCUGUAAAGGUUUCAGUUGCUGGCCGAAAUGGUGAUCUGCUUGAGAUGAUUGAGCUUUGCUUGUUAGGCUUGAUGUCAAGCACAUGGAAAGAACUGGUCGAGCAGUUCACAUCAUGUUCUUUUGAAGUUCUAUCUGUCUCAAAGUUGUAUCAUGAUAUGCACAGUUUACUUCAGAGAAGAUCACAUUUUCUUGAUUCUGCGCAGCGAGCUACUGAUAGUAAGGAAUCUGGCAUUUUGGAGUAUCUGUCCUCAUUGGUGGACCCAAAUCUUAUUCAGUUGUGGCAGCUACCUCCUGUUCUUGUGGCAGCUGCACUGCCAUCAUGGUCGGCGCUGUUUCAUAUGUACGCUGGUGAGAUGGAAAAGCAGACAACUGAAAGCUCUUCUGCAGUAAGAUAUUGCAGCUGUGAUCAGUACGGCAAGGGCCAUACAGACUGUGAAAUUGCAGAAAGAGUUUGGUGUAUUUAUAUUCAUCAUGUUCGUGGCCAAGGUCACAUCCACUGACUUCUAAUAUUAGAGGAUUUUGCUAUUGACUACUACAGAAAUACAUCAGCGACAUGGUUGUGAUUGAGUGCAUUUUCGUGCAGGUUGCCUUUAGACUUUCAGUAAUGGGAUUCUACAUUGUCACACAGAAAAGGGUGCUCCCGAAGACUUUAUGUCCCACUACACGGGGUGGACCACCAAGGAAGUUCGACCUUCUGACAAGCCAUGACAGUGGUAUGGACUGGCAUUUAUAAUUGAUGCUUUGGAGCAGGCGUGCUCUGAUAACAUAAGGAUUUCUAUGGCUUGUCAAUGGGUGAGAAGCAAAAUAACUGCAAGACGAGCCAACCACAGGCAUGGCGGAGUCGCCCUUGUUAAUAUUCAAGCCAAGGUGUCCAUGAGCACAUGGAGUGGAAGAAUAGAUUGGAGGCGGCUAAUAUGGAGGAUCAAGGCACAUUGGAGGCAAACCGUGUGGUUUCAGAAUAACUCUGUGAAGUUUAGUUAUGACAUUUGUAGUUAUUGCCAAAAUUUUGAUGACGGUCCUUAGAACAGCUAGAGAGUUAGGAUGCAAGCCAUGUUUGAGAGAGGGAAAGGAAAUAUGUCUUGUAUUUCCCAAACGACGCUCCUUCUUUCAUUUUAUUCAAAUAUUAUGAAAUAA